rnacentral:rRNA from 1 species
GUCCUUUAGAAUUUAAUUGAAGGUCUGACCUGCCCAGUGAUUAAUUUAACGGCCGCGGUAUACUGACCGUGCAAAGGUAGCAUAAUCAUUAGUCUUUUAAUAGAGGGCUGGAAUGAAAGGUUUAACGAGGAAUUGACUGUCUCAUCUUAUUUGUUUUAAAAUUUAAUUUUUUAGUUAAAAAGCUGAAAUUUUAUUGGUAGACGAGAAGACCCUAUAGAUCUUUAUAAAUAAUUGUGUAAUUAUUUUUAUAUUAACACUUUUAUUCAAUUAUUUAUUUUGUUGGGGUGACAAAAACAUAUAAAUAACUUUUUUAUUUACAAAACAUUGAUUUAUGAAUAUUAGAUCCAUUAUUAUUGAUUAUUAGAAUAAGUUACCUUAGGGAUAACAGCGUAAUCCUCUUCCAGAGUUCAUAUUUACGAGGGGGGUUGCGACCUCGAUGUUGGAUUAAGAUAAUAGUUAGGUGUAGCCGCUUAAUAUAUAGGUCUGUUCGACCUUUAAAUUCUU